ACGAACGCUGGCGGCGUGCUUAACACAUGCAAGUCGAACGGUGAAGGGAUCAGCUUGCUGGUUCUGGAUGAGUGGCGAACGGGUGAGUAACACGUGAGUAACCUGCCCCCUUCUUCUGGAUAACCGCAUGAAAGUGUGGCUAAUACGGGAUAUUCUGGGUCUGUCGCAUGAUGGGUCUGGGAAAGAUAUUGUUUCGGUGGGGGAUGGGCUCGCGGCCUAUCAGCUUGUUGGUGGGGUGAUGGCCUACCAAGGCGGUGACGGGUAGCCGGCCUGAGAGGGUGGACGGUCACACUGGGACUGGGACACGGCCCAGACUCCUACGGGAGGCAGCAGUGGGGAAUAUUGCACAAUGGGCGCAAGCCUGAUGCAGCGACGCCGCGUGAGGGAUGGAGGCCUUCGGGUUGUAAACCUCUUUCGCCAGUGAAGCAGGCCUGCUCCUUGUGGGUGGGUUGACGGUAGCUGGAUAAGAAGCGCCGGCUAACUACGUG
rnacentral:rRNA from 1 species